CCCUUAGAUGUUCUGGGCUGCACACGUGCUUCACUGGCAGGUUCAGCGAGCUUCAUGCCCUGAUCUGAAAGGAAUGGGAAAUCUUUUCAAAACCUGCCGUGCUUGGGAUAGAUGUUUGCAAUUAUUCAUCUUCAACGAGGAUUGCCUUGUAAGCGCACGUCAUCAGCGUGCAUUGAAUACGACCCUGUAUUCUGUACACACCGCCCGUCGCUCCUACCGAUUGAAGUUUUCGGUGAGUUGACAGGAGGAUUUUUUUGAAACUGGUUCGCCAGUGGAUUUUAGAUCCAAAUGCCAACGAAUCGAUGGCUUUAGAGGAAGGAGAAGUCGUAACA
rnacentral:rRNA from 1 species